UCUACGGGCGGCAGCAGUGGGGAAUAUUGGGCAAUGGGCGAAAGCCUGACCCAGCAAUGCCGCGUGAAUGAAGAAGGUCUUAGGAUUGUAAAAUUCUGUCCUCUGGGAAGAAAAAAUGAUGGUAUCCUAGGCGGAAGCUCCGGCUAACUACGUGCCAGCAGCCGAGGUAAUACGGAGGGGGCGAGCGGUGUCCGGAAUUAGUGGGGGGAAAGAGGGCGUAGGCGGCACUACAAGUCUCAUGUGAAAUACCCGGGCUUAACUUGGGGGUUGCAUGGGAAACUGUAGAGCUUGAGUACAGGAGAGGCGAGCGGAAUUCCUAGUGUAGCGGUGAAAUGCAUAGAUAUUAGGAGGAACACCAGUGGCGAAGGCGGCUUGCUGGACUGAAACUGACGCUGAGGCUCGAAAGCGUGGGGAGCAAACAGGAUUAGAUACCCCAGUAGUC
rnacentral:rRNA from 1 species